ACGGCCGCGUCUUUUACUCCUAAAAGGCUCUUCUCUUCCUCCUCUUCGCAAAUCUCCUCUUCGCAAAUCUCCUCUUCCCUUAAAGUGUCUUCUUCUUUACCCCUUCUUCCUCCCAUCACCCAAGGAUAUUCUCUUUUCAGGUUUGCAGAUUUCAUCCAAGUUCAAUAAAAGAAUGACCUUUGAGAAUUUCAAUAAUGCAGUUUGUCUGUAUUACGAUCCGGAUUUCUCACCCUCGGGAGUCGUGAUGACGCCUACUAAUGUGAGCUAGAUUUUAACUUUUUGGAUGCUGGAAAUUGGUCGCUGCAAGUAUGUAACUAAAGCUCUUGGGAUCUGCCUCUGCCGUUUAAGGGGAACGCCAACAAAUUCAACUUUGCUGCUAAAAGAUUUAAUGAUGUGGAUCAUCAAGUUUUAGGAAUGGAUGAACAAAGAGAAGUUCAAGACAGACUUAGAGUAAGUAUUCAUGGCUACUUCCCGCUGUCCAAAAUGCUCCUACGGUCUUAUAGAUGCUUUUGUGGAACAAUUUUGGAUGAAGGAAUAAAUAAGGUAGAAUAGAAUUAGCAUUUUCUUCCGCAAGAAAAAUGAAUAAAUUUUACUUUUUGCAUUCCCGCAGAAUCAGAUAAGAUGUGACUAUGUCUCCCUCUAUACUAGGUUAGAAAGAGACAGGAUGUCGGAAAUCCUGUUAUUGUUUCUCGAGUUGCAUUUUAUGGCUACAAUAUUAAAGACAAGUUUAUCCUUUGC